rnacentral:rRNA from 1 species
UAAAACUUUCAACAACGGAUCUCUUGGUUCUGGCACCGAUGAAGAACGCAGCGAAAUGCGAUAAGUAAUGUGAAUUGCAGAAUUCAGUGAAUCAUCGAAUCUUUGAACGCACAUUGCGCCCCCUGGUAUUCCGGGGGGCAUGCCUGUUCGAGCGUCAUUGC